AGCCCCGUGGUGUAGUGGUUAGCAUAGGAGACUCUGGAUCUCUUGACAGCAGUUCAAAUCUGCUCGGGGCUA
rnacentral:tRNA from 1 species